rnacentral:rRNA from 1 species
AAAUUGAAGAGUUUGAUCAUGGCUCAGAUUGAACGCUGGCGGCAGGCCUAACACAUGCAAGUCGAACGGUAGCACAGAGAGCUUGCUCUCGGGUGACGAGUGGCGGACGGGUGAGUAAUGUCUGGGAAACUGCCUGAUGGAGGGGGAUAACUACUGGAAACGGUGGCUAAUACCGCAUAACGUCGCAAGACCAAAGAGGGGGACCUUCGGGCCUCUUGCCAUCAGAUGUGCCCAGAUGGGAUUAGCUAGUUGGUGAGGU